CCAGGGCCUGAAAAUCCAGAUUCCAGCACGAUGCCGAACAACUCACUCCUCUCUCCAGUAUCGCGCCAAGAAGACGUAGUCCUCGCUGAACGGCGUGCUACAGUUUCCGUAUACCUCGUCUGCCGCGUGUUGAUCGAAAUUUUCAACCAGAGCACGCUGCAGGCCAUCACUGCUGAAAUGGCAGAGAGGUUAGAAGACAUUGUUUUUGGACAAUUAAAAACAGUUGAUCCGGACCAAAUUGCUGCGUCGCCACUUCGAAUGGCAAACUGGCGAAUUUAUGGCCAACUUUUGGGCAUUAUGAGCGAAUCUAACUUUGGCAGCGUUUCAAAUAGAUUCCUUGCGGAGCUGAGCCAAUUUCAGAAGGAUGAUUUCAGAUUAGCAACGACGAAGGAUGCGG
rnacentral:sRNA from 2 species